CCUACGGGUGACAGCAGUGGGGGAUAUUGCACAAUGGGGGAAACCCUGAUGCAGCGACGCCGCGUGGGCGAAGAAGUAUUUCGGUAUGUAAAGCCCUGUCAGCAGGGAAGAAGUAAUGACGGUAUCUGAGUAAGAAGCACCGGCUAAAUACGUGCCAGCAGCCGCGGUAAUACGUAGGGUGCAAGCGUUAUCCGGAUUUACUGGGUGUAAAGUGAGCGCAGGCGGCACGGCAAGUCGAAUGUGAAAGGCCGCGGCCCAACCGCGGGACUGCAUUUGGAACUACCAGGCUGGAGUGCCGGAGAGGUAGGCGGAAUUCCUAGUGUAGCGGUGAAAUGCGUAGAUAUUAGGAGGAACACCAGUGGCGAAGGCGGCCGACUGGACGAUGACUGACGCUGAGGCUCGAAAGCGUGGGGAGCAAACAGUAUUAGAUACCCUUGUAGUC
rnacentral:rRNA from 1 species